UACGUAGGGGGCAAGCGUUGUUCGGAUUCACUGGGCGUAAAGGGUGCGUAGGCGGUCGGGUAAGUCUGAUGUGAAAUCUCCAAGCCUAACUUGGAAACUGCAUUGGAUACUAUCCGGCUAGAGGAAUGGAGGGGAGACUGGAAUACUUGGUGUAGCAGUGAAAUGCGUAGAUAUCAAGUGGAACACCAGUGGCGAAGGCGAGUCUCUGGACAUUUCCUGACGCUGAGGCACGAAAGCCAGGGGAGCAAACGGG
rnacentral:rRNA from 1 species